rnacentral:rRNA from 1 species
GUGUAGCAGUGAAAUGCGUAGAUAUCGUGAGGAAGACCGGUGGCGAAGGCGAGUCUCUGGACAGAUCCUGACGCUGAGGCACGAAGGCUGGGGGAGCGAACAGGAUUAGAUACCCUGGUAGUCCCAGCAGUAAACGAUGUGAGCUUGAUGUGGGGGGAUUCGACCCCUUCCGUGUCGAAGCUAACGCGAUAAGCUCACCGCCUGAGGAGUACGGCCGCAAGGCUAAAACUCAAAGAAAUUGACGGGGACCCGCACAAGCGGUGGAGUAUGUGGCUUAAUUCGAUGCAACGCGAAGAACCUUACCUGGCCUUGACAUGCAUUGUGUCGUCGGUGAAAGCCGGCUAGUCCUGGAAACAGGACGCUUUGCACAGGUGCUGCAUGGCUGUCGUCAGCUCGUGUCGUGAGAUGUUGGGUUAAGUCCCGCAACGAGCGCAACCCUUGUGGUCAGUUACUAACCGGCAUAGCCGGGGGACUCUGGCCAGACUGCCCUGUCAAACGGGGAGGAACGCUUGGGACGACGUCAAGUCAGUAUGGCCCUUAUGGCCAGGGCUGCACACGUACUACAAUGCCCGGUACAAUGUGAACCGAAACCGCGAGGUGGAGGAAAUCGCUCUUGAAAACCGGGCCCAGUUCGGAUUGGAGUCUGCAACUCGACUCCAUGAAGUCGGAAUCGCUAGUAAUGGCGCAUCAGCACCUACCCCGUGAUACGUUCCCGGUUCUGUACACACCGCCCGUCACAUCAUGGAGUCUCCUGUACCC